AGUGGCGCACGGGUGAGUAACGCGUGGAUAAUCUGCCCGAGGAUUUGGGAUAACAUCUCGAAAGGGGUGCUAAUACCGAAUAAGCCCACGGGGUCUACGGAUCUUGCGGGAAAAGGGGGGGACCUUCGGGCCUCCUGUCCUUGGAUGAGUCUGCGUACCAUUAGCUAGUUGGUGGGGUAAUGGCCUACCAAGGCGACGAUGGUUAGCUGGUCUGAGAGGAUGAUCAGCCACACUGGAACUGAGACACGGUCCAGACUCCUACGGGAGGCAGCAGUGGGGAAUUUUGCGCAAUGGGGGAAACCCUGACGCAGCAACGCCGCGUGGGUGAUGAAGGCCUUCGGGUCGUAAAGCUCUGUCUGGAGGGAAGAAAUGAUUGGGAGCUAAUACCUCUUGAUCUUGACGGUACCUCUGAAGGAAGCACCGGCUAACUCCGUGCCAGCAGCCGCGGUAAUACGGAGGGUGCAAGCGUUGUUCGGAAUUAUUGGGCGUAAAGCGCGUGUAGGCGGUCUUUUAAGUCUGAUGUGAAAGCCCCGGGCUCAACCUGGGAAGUGCAUUGGAAACUGGGAGGCUUGAGUACGGGAGAGGAGAGUGGAAUUCCUAGUGUAGGAGUGAAAUCCGUAGAUAUUAGGAGGAACACCGGUGGCGAAGGCGGCUCUCUGGACCGAUACUGACGCUGAGACGCGAAAGCGUGGGUAGCAAACAGGAUUAGAUACCCUGGUAGUCCACGCC
rnacentral:rRNA from 1 species